ensembl:lncRNA
AUGAAGGGGCAGCAUGCCUGGGCAAAUCUACGAUGUUCCUAUUACAAAGAUGGCAAACUUGCUAGAAUUGACAGUGAAAAAGAGAAGAUAUGGCUUGGUAUUAUGGUGCAAACUGAGAGCUGGAUUGGUUUAAUGCAAGGAGGAACUACAUGGAAAUGGAGUGGUGAUAGUAAAGAUAUAGAUCCAUCAAAAUAUUCUUGGUAAGUUUCAGCUGUUCUACUAUGAUCUAUUUCUGAAAGUCUCGGAGAAAAAUAAUUAUUUUCAGUACAAAGAGACAUACAAGGUAUAUGUCUGUUUUGUCCUGGGUGCACUACAGCUGCUUUAGUUCUACAGAGUGUCUUUUGAAAAAAAAUAUUUCCUUUUGUUUAGUUUGAAAAUGAUUAAACAACAAUUCUUAAAUGUUUUGUUUAAUGAACUCACCAUGGAUGCUUUAUCCGUGCUAUUGUUUUCUGAAAAUGGACAGAUUUGAAAAUGAGAAAAGUGCAUAGUUGCAGUGGCCAAGCAAAAUACUGUGUCUGGAGCUUUGGGGCAGAACUCCCACUUCUAUAGAUGUAUGAAACAGUGGCUAAGAUUGAACAGGACCCAAAGAACAGGGGGGGAAAAUUGGUGAGGAGAUGCAGUAGAUGCAGCACAUUUGAAAACACACUUCUUACAGUUAAUACAAAUAAGAAAUAGCAAUUUUUAUAAUAAUGGCACUGAUAUUGUCAAUUGUUUUAUACAAGGCUUGUUUCUUUAAUGGCUCUGUUAAAAAGACUGUGGAGGUUCUAUCUACUGUAUAUACCUGAAGAUAAGCCAAGUUUUUCAGCCCUAUUUUUAAGCUGAAAAAACCUCCCCUGGCUUAUAAUCGGGUCAAGACCAGCAACGGAGCCUGCAGGCUAUUGCUUGCAAUAUAUGAUAUAUUUCUCUCUUACCCUCCCUUAUCAGUGUUUACUUUUCCAAAGCCUCCCUCACUCUUAAUCAAGGGAAUGUUUGAAACGGGAAAGAUGCCCUUACAAGUCAAGAAGAAGAAAAAUAAAUAUUCAUUAAUCUUAUGAAAGCAUUUUCCCCUGAAAUAUUUGUUAAACUCUCCUACAGAUAUAUAGGCAUUAACCCAUUGCAAGCUUUUGCAAUCCUUAUGUACCUAUAUCUAUCUAUCUAUCUAUCUAUCUAUCUAUCUAUCUAUCUACAUUAAUUUUAUAUAUGAAUUUUCCCCUCAUAUGUUUGCAAGUCUCUGCAAAUCCUAUAUAUAUAUAGUUAUAUAUAUAUAAAGAGAGAUGAUAGAUAUGAAUAUAUUCUUAUCUACCUAUAUAUAGGGCUUGUAAAUAUUACAGGGGAGAAAUGGCUUACAAAUAUUGUAGGGGAAAUGCACACACACACACAUAGAGGAUUGGCAAACAUUUUAGGGGAAAAUGCAUAUGUGAAAUUAGUAUCUAUAAUUAUAGAUCUAUAUCUGCAUUGUUUAUAUAAGCAUUGAAUGUUUGCCUGUUACUAUGUUGGCAGCUGGCCUGAGUCCCCAUGGGGAGAUAGGGUGGGAUCCAAAUGAAGUUUUUAUUAUUACUACUACUACUACUACUACUACUAUAAGGUUAUUGUUGAUACCUUUUUUGUUGCCUCUACAUUUCCACUUAUAGAGCUAGUUUAUUGUUUUUCUUUGAAAUACGGUAAAUAUUCAAAAACAUUUAACCUACUGAUACCUCAAUUAAUGUCAUUUUAUUGGUAUCUAUUUUUAUUUUUAAAUUUACCAGUAGCUGCUGCAUUUCGAACCCUCGGCUUAUACUCGAGUCAAUAAGUUAUCCCAGUUUUUUGUAGUAAAAUUAGGUGCUUCGGCUUAUAUUCGGGUCGGCUUAUACUCGAGUAUAUAUGGUAAUUUUUUUUAGCACCUUUUACUGAGUCUCCUUAAGAAAGAAAAAGUGCAACAACAAACAACAAUAAUAAUGCCAGUAUUGGAAAUUUGGGGAAGAUUGACAGGCUUUUGAGGCUUGGCUGCCAAAACAUCUUUAAACAAUUAGCCCAGCUUCCCAGUUAGUAGGCCUAUCUUCCACAUUUCAGUAGAAUAAUGCCACUCCAUUUGGCAAUUCUUAGCAACCAACAACAUUAAAAUAGCUAUGCUGAGGUUUUGACAUUCAAAUCAUCAGAAUAAUUCAAAUAAUUUAUUUAGCACACUUUCCUAAACCCUUUCUCUGUCCUUAGAAACUUUGUUGGACUAAAUUUAAUGAGGCAAAGUAUUAUGAAAAUGGCAGAAAUGUACACAAUAUUUCAUUUUCCUUUCUCAUUUUUAAAGACAUAGCUUGCAAAGAAAUUUACCACAGUUUUGCUAAAGGCAGCUUAUUUUUAUACUCAUAAACAGGCUUUGGGAUUUUCCUUCGACAGCAAGUGGAUGUGUUCAGAUGCUUCCAGGAGCAAGAUUUCAAGCCUUGCCAUGCAGUGAACAUCAUUCCUAUAUUUGUGAGAAAGAAAUAGGUACUAAGCAGAGUAGCUGGUUGUUUGGUACGAGGGCUAUCCACAAAGCAGGUUACAUUUUAGAAUUAAAAAUGAACAAAGUACAGUAGAGUCUCACUUAUCCAACACUUGCUUAUCCAACAUUCUGGAUUAUCCAACACAUUUUUGUAGUCAAUGUUUUCAAUACAUUGUGAUAUUUUGGUGCUAAAUUCGUAAAUACAGUAAUUACUUCAUUGCAUUACUGCGUAUUGAAUUACUUUUUCUGUCAAAUUUGUUGUAUAACAUGAUGUUUUGAUGCUUAAUUUGUAAAAUCAUAACCUAAUUUGAUGUUUAAUAGGCUUUUCCUUAAUCCCUCCUUAUUAUCCAACAUAUUCGCUUAUCCAACGUUCUGCCGGCCCAUUUAUGUUGGAUAAGUGAGACUCUAUUGUAUAGGAGAAAACAUUUACCAUAUGCAGUUGAAAGCCACACCCAAAUACCACAUCUCACGUAAUUGCCAUUCAAAUUUAGGCACUUACCAUAGCGAUGAAUGAGCUUUGUAAAUCCUUCCCCAC